CCUACGGGUGGCAGCAGUGGGGAAUAUUGGACAAUGGGCGAAAGCCUGAUCCAGCCAUGCCGCGUGUGUGAAGAAGGCCUUCGGGUUGUAAAGCACUUUCAGUGGGGAAGAAAGCCUUGGGGCUAAUACCCUCGAGGAAGGACAUCACCCACAGAAGAAGCACCGGCUAACUCCGUGCCAGCAGCCGCGGUAAUACGGAGGGUGCGAGCGUUAAUCGGAAUUACUGGGCGUAAAGCGCGCGUAGGCGGUCUGAUAAGCCGGUUGUGAAAGCCCCGGGCUCAACCUGGGAACGGCAUCCGGAACUGUCCGGCUAGAGUGCAGGAGAGGAAGGUAGAAUUCCCGGUGUAGCGGUGAAAUGCGUAGAGAUCGGGAGGAAUACCAGUGGCGAAGGCGGGCUUCUGGACUGACACUGACGCUGAGGUGCGAAAGCGUGGGUAGCGAACAGGAUUAGAUACCCUAGUAGUC
rnacentral:rRNA from 1 species